rnacentral:rRNA from 1 species
AUUGAACGCUGGCGGCAUGCUUUACACAUGCAAGUCGAACGGUAACAGGCCGCAAGGUGCUGACGAGUGGCGAACGGGUGAGUAAUGCAUCGGAACGUGCCCAGUCGUGGGGGAUAACGCAGCGAAAGCUGCGCUAAUACCGCAUACGAUCUAUGGAUGAAAGCGGGGGACCGAAAGGCCUCGCGCGAUUGGAGCGGCCGAUGUCAGAUUAGGUAGUUGGUGGGGUAAAGGCCCACCAAGCCAACGAUCUGUAGCUGGUAUGAGAGGACGACCGGCCACACUGGAACUGAGACACGGCCCAGACUCCUACGGGAGGCAGCAGUGGGGAAUUUUGGACAAUGGGCGCAAGCCUGAUCCAGCAAUGCCGCGUGCAGGAAGAAGGCCUUCGGGUUGUAAACUGCUUUUGUACGGAACGAAACGGUCCGGGUUAAUACCCUGGGCUAAUGACGGUACCGUAAGAAUAAGCACCGGCUAACUACGUGCCAGCCGCCGCCGUAACAC